AUUCCAGCUCCAAUAGCGUAUAUUAAAGUUGUUGCAGUUAAAAAGCUCGUAGUUGGAUUUCGGAACCGGCCGAUUGGUCCGUCCUCUGGAUCGUGUACUGAUCGGUCUGUUCUUCUUCGCGAAGACCGCGUGUGCCCUUAACUGGGUGGGCGCGGGAUUCGCGACGUUUACUUUGAAAAAAUUAGAGUGUUCAAAGCAGGCAGUCGCUUGAAUAUCUCAGCAUGGAAUAAUAGAAUAGGACUUUGGUCUUAUUUUGUUGGUUUCCGAGACCGAAGUAAUGAUUAAUAGGGACAGUUGGGGGCAUUCGUAUUUCAUUGUCAGAGGUGAAAUUCUUGGAUUUAUGAAAGACGAACUUCUGCGAAAGCAUUUGCCAAGGAUGUUUUCAUCA
rnacentral:rRNA from 1 species